CGAACAUGUUGUUGUAGUUGCUCUUUAAAAGAACAAAGCAACAGGACAUAAUGUGUCAAAAACUGAUCAAGUUCCUUAUCAUCAGAAAGAUUCCCAUGUCCAAGGCCGGAAUAUUUGCCUACUAUUUGCUGCGACUGUGCCAGCUGUGCAUCAAUCCUUGGCAACUGAUCUACAGGCGUUGCUAUUCGUAAGCACGCCACAUGGGCUGACAACAAUUGCUCAAACAGUGGAUGUGCCAGAAUUUCAGAUUUAUACCCCGCAUUUUGCCAAUUAACGGCUUCACUCUCACCAAACUCGUCCUUAGUCAAAUCGGAAUCAUUGGAUGCCUGAAUAUUCCUCUGUAAAAUGGACCUCGAUAACCACUGGUUUGAGUUGGACUCCCCAGUAUACUGAGUUUGUGGUAAAAG
rnacentral:misc_RNA from 1 species